GUCAACACCAGCCAGCUGCCUGCUGCCACCGCCCACAGGUGACUGCCUCCUGCGGUGACGCUGGCACAUGCGGAUAGAUGGCAGGUUAUUCACUUAGGAGGCGUCCGAAGAGCUUCUCCUAAGACUGGAAAGGUGCUCGAAGUCCUGGCAGGCACCCUGGAGGCACACACGAACGGUUUCUCCGCCUUCUCUCCGUGUGACUCCCGUUAGCAUAGCUCGUAGAAGGAUGACCGAGGUGGGCUCUGUUACUCUGAGCGGCUCACACCGGUCACUGCACCCAACCUGAGCUACCAGCACAUGAGGACGUGGAAGCACAAACGGGGCCAAGAGCCAGAGCUGCACAUUCUGCUUAGGGUUCUUGGGCUGGGUCUGUUCUCUCAGCUGCUGGAAACGUCUCUAGAGGACGCCUUUCUGGACUCACCUUGAUGGAGACGAUGCGGCCUGGGCUGUUAUCAUGCAUGAAGACGCGGAGCAUGUGUGGGAUCAGCUGGGGCAGGUAGAGCUUAAAUUCACCCCCAAGAGCUACCACAAUUUGCUCAAUGAGAAGAAUGAUUGUGCUCUGGAUCGAGGUGUUCAUGACCCAGAAUUCCUAUGAAGAGGGAAAAGAGUGAGAAGCGAAGCCAAGUGCCUUUCUGCUGAACUAAGAAGUAAGGAACGGAGAUGGCCCCAAAGAAGCAAAACUGUAGUGAGCAGUUGGCCCCGGGAGGGAGUCCUUCCCCGGCCUCCUCUCCCCAGGGCUCUUCGUAUCCUAGCUCAUAGUCACAGUGCACAAAUUAAACUGCAUUUUACCAAAAGCACCAGGCUCCUCCACUCCUCUGUGCUUUGCUUGUGCUGUUCUCUGCCUAGAGCUCCUCCUCUUGCUCAGCUAAAGCCCCACCUGUGUUUCUAGACCCGGCUCAAGCCUCACUUCUAUGGGGGCUUUCCCGUUCUGUUACAUACUCUGGGUCCCCUUGCCCCCUCUUUUCUAGCACCUGCAAGAACUUCACUUUGCCCCCUUCUCUCUACUAGACUGUAAACUAGUUAAGGGCAGGAAGCCCCUCUGAGCCACCUCUGUCUCCCCAGAAUCUCACACAGCACCUGGCAUAGUCCAGCCACCCAAACACACGUUUACAGAGUGAGUGAAUGGUUUACUUCACUCGAGGGGCUCUCAGGUUGCCUCCGGUAGAUUCUUUACUUUGGGUACCAUCCAGUAUCCAGCAGAGGGUGAUCCCAGUGUUAAGUUUCCUGCCCUUUCUGGAUUUAGACUUUGCGAGAUAUAGGUAGCGCCUGACAUUUGUCCCAAAUCAUUUUCAGGCCUGGAUAAUGCCACAAAAGGAGUACUUUUUCUAUACCCACGAAGUUAUGUUCCACGUAAGUUACCAAAAUAAAAACUGGGCCAAAUGGCCACAGGAUCUGGCUCGGUACCUAAACUGGUCUGAGUUUCUGACUCUAGGAAAAGCUGUCACUUCAAAUCAACUCAAAAAGAAACUUGCCUACUGCCUUGUUUGAAACCUCCAGAGAAGGAGACUUGAUGAUGAUAGAAGCCCUAAUGAUGAUGGCAACACAUGCAUAUUCAUACUUUGGGGCCCUCAACUAAAAAAAGAAAGACAGAACUCCUCAGAAGUAAGGCUUUACAGAAGCUUGAAGUAUUUUUAUUUAAAAAGUGUCUUAAAAAUCCUAACAGUUUAGAAAGUAAAAACCAUAUUAAAAGAUGCUGGUAAAACAUUCCCUCUGCUUGGAGGGAGAAGUAUUCUCUCUGAAAAAGGCUAUUUUCUCUAGAUAAAAACCUUUGCCAAAGAAACACUUGAGAUGUUACACCCCCACAGUUUGUCUGAUGUGCAGUCGCUUAGCCCGCACUCUGCCUUCUUUGGACAGAGUCCGCUUGCCGUCUCCACUGUAUUACUAUUGGCUGCUUACAGGGGCUUCUCUACCUCAAAGAAGCCAGGCAGCCUGCCCAGGGAUCGCUGUUCUCAUCCCAGGCUCAGGGGUGCUCAUUAAAAUGCCCAGGAUGGGCAGUCAGAGGAAGAGCCCCUGGUGCACCUCAGCCACCUUGGAGGAAAUGAAAGCUGCGUUUUGCAGGUAUGAAGCUCCCUGUCUCAAACUCCCACGUUUUGGUCCGAAGCCUUUUCUGGGGUCUAAGUCUCUGAUUGGUGCUGCUUGGCUACCCCUGGCCCCUCGCCCACGCGGCCCGCAGCCCUCCAGCACUGCGCUCGACAGAGGCCUCCGUGGCAGGAGUCUGAGAGCCGCACGGUUUUAAUUAUUUGUACAGACAGGAGUUUUUCAGUUCUGAGACCCAGUUUCAGGGAAGUUCCAGUUUUGAAGUGAGCCACUUUGAUUUUAGUCCUGCGGCUUCCUCCAGCUGACUACAAAGGGCUGGCAGAGAAGAGCAGAAAUCAGGGAAGAAUUGUCUUCCAAUUCUUUGAGGGCACAGCCAUCUCUGCAAAGCAAGCUUCCCAACAGAGACAUUUAAAUGAUACAGAACAGCAGGAAGCAGGCCUCCUCCUCAGACAGAAAAACGAUAUUGCCACCGACGACCGGGGAAUCUUCCGCACCUGCUUAAAGCAGGUUAUAAAAUCUGGGACGGGAGCCUUUCCUCUUUCCUCGGGUGCUGCUGCAGUCGGAAGGUGGCAUUUACGCUCUGGAAGGCGGUGGGGUAAAGCCUCGCCUUCCUCCUCAGUGCCUGACAGGAGUUCAUCAUAUUUAAUAGUGCUAAUCCCCAAACCUCUCUUAAGGCCACGGUUUUAUGGGCCGUACGAAGGAAGGCUUUCAUGGGAACAGUAAAGCACUGUUGUGAUAUUAAAGUGAAAUUGCUUUGUUGUGUGCGAGGCAAAGAACUCGAGAGUCUAUUUCUGGCAAAACAAUAACUUCAGGACUUUUCCUCCGACUUCACACCUCAGGUGCUGGAGCCUGUGGCAGCUGCCCCCCGCCCUUGUCAUCACCCACCGGGGACCCUUGUCCCACAUUUUACACUCCGGAUGUCACAGCUUUACGAAGACCCAGGACAAAAAUGUCCAUGCUCUCCCAACCUGCCUCUGCAGGUGCCUUGACCCAAACACUGAAGGACCGGCCAAAGCACUAACUUGUACUCACUCUCAUGAGGGUGACUAUUUCAUCCAUGUAAGGUCUGAUGUGGCUCUUCACAAAGGACACCAACAUUCCCAGCUGCUGGAACAGGAACUGCAGCGGAGAAGAGGGCAGAGAGCUGGCAUCAGGAAUGACGGAGAACUCCCAGGGUUACCCGAAGUCCGUGGGAACAAACACAGCUAUGCAAUCCGUUUCCACCACAUCCAUUUUCUGAGAUCAAGUCUUAAAAAAACCAGACUGAAACCCUUUGGCGGUGAUCGCAGUGGGGACUAGAAACAACUCUCAGUGGUUUUACACCCCGCCCCCAGCCUGACCGCACCGCAAGGGCUGCAAGGGCUGCAAGGCCACACUGGCCGUCGAGAGCCAUGAUGCCACCUCGGCUCUGUGACCUUCAUUUAACCUCUCUGCCCUGGGCCUGUUCAGGGGCAAGAGGCAGAUAACAGUACCUGUCUCCGGGCUCCCUUGAAAUUAAGUGGAGAACCCCUGGGAAGCACCAGCAGCGGGAUGUGAGGCCUCUCAAGUGCUACCACCGAAGGAUUUGCCGGGUGACUCAGACUUCACAAUGGACACGAGACUUUUCAUCAACUAUAAAUGUAUCUUUUGUCUCUUCAGUUCUAAUUUACUACCACUUACUUUCUAAAUAAAUACAGUGACAUAUGA